AUUCCUCUCUAUCCCUCUCAAUCUGUUUCCAGAUGGAGCACAGAGGUGCGGCCGUAUGUUUAAUUCAUUUCAGUUCAUUGUUGUUUCAGACCGCCUCUGACACUUUUCCAGGAAUCCGUCUGUCUGAGUCAUUCCUCUGUGUUUCUAUAAUGAGAAAAAAAAAGCUGUCAGGAUUAAAAAUAAAAUAAAACACCUUCUGUACAGAAGCGAAUAUAGAUUUUAUUAUUGCCAUUCGCGCUCUCUCAUUGUGUGUGUGCCUCCAUGCUGUGUUGUCCCUGGAGACACAGAGACAAACUGGGAGCUGAGGGAAACGCAGAGACCUACUGGGACAGGCGGAGAGCUGCUGCUUCUCUCCGCUGCAACAUUUCUGCAGAAUGUAUCUUUUUUUCUGAAGGAUGAAUAUGACCUUGUUAAUGGCAUAGCUGCACUUGCAGGAGAGCCGAGCUCAGGGAGCAGCACCGAACAGGGCAGCAGCAGGGUUGAUUAUUCUUUCCAUUACAACUCCAAGGCAAAGAAGCUGUUUGUUCAGCAGGAGGAAUAUCAAUCAUGACAUCACAAUGGCCUGUCUGGCCUUUGGGAGGCACAGCUAGGGGCCCCUCCUCACAUCAGGACACAGCAGCCUGCUGUCAGACAGGUUCUGGAGCGCAGGGGAGCUGGGACUGGAGAAGAGAGACUGCAGGGAGGGGCUGUGAGGUGAACACAUUGAUCUGGACAUGGAAGAAAAUAGGACAUGCUAGAAAGGAGGGAGACAGAUGGAAAGAGGGAUAAGAAAAGAAAGGAGAGAGGGAGGUUAAGACAAGUGGCGUCAGUGCACGAGUGACCCUGUGUGACCCCUCCCCUGCCCUGCUGCAAUGAUUCAGACAGAUACAGUUCAGC